UCAGCAUUAGCAGAGCUACGUGAAAUAGAGUGAAAUACGAUGACCUGACUUCCUCCUCCCACAGGCCUCUCCCGGGCUUUGGGCUCUCUGCCUGAGCAACCACGGCAGGUCCCCAGAGGGCUGCCCUUUCCAGGGGCCCUGCCUGUCUAAAGGGGCAGGGAGACCAGAAAGGCUGCAAGCAACCCUGCUGGCUGCUGGCCCAGCUGCAGAGGCCCGACGCCUGCCGUUGGCCUGCACCAGAGCUGGAACUCCAACCAGAUGUACCCAGGUUGGGACGUCAGGAAAAGGGUUGCUUUUCAGUAACAGCAUGACAGCCUCCCCCAACAUCCUUUCGUCACCUGGAAUUAUGGGCUGACCAUGUCCCAACCCCAAAUUGCAGUGUUGAAGCCCUAACCCCAGUAUGAUGCUAUUUGAAGGAAGCAGGGAAGGCCACGUGAGCGCACAGCAAGGAGGCGGCCGGCCGCUAGCCAGGAAGAGCUGCUUCUCCAAGAAUUGAAUCAACUUGCACCUUGAUCUGGGACUUCCUGGCCUCUAGAAAUAAAUGUCUACUGUUUUGGCCAUCCAAUUUGUGGCAUUUAUUAUAGCAGCCCAAAUGGACUGAGACAGCUGGCAGACACCUACUCAGCCUUUAGGACCCAGUGCAAUUACCACUCCUCUCCAAAGCCUUUCUUAGCACUUACAAAUAAACUGAGUCAUUCCCUCUCCUGUGCCAUCCAAGUACUCUGGUCCCAGCCUUCU